rnacentral:rRNA from 1 species
GAUGAACGCUGGCGGCGUGCCUAAUACAUGCAAGUCGGGCGAACGGACGAGAAGCUUGCUUCUCUGAUGUUAGCGGCGGACGGGUGAGUAACACGUGGAUAACCUACCUAUAAGACUGGGAUAACUUCGGGAAACCGGAGCUAAUACCGGAUGAUAUUUUGAACCGCAUGGUUCAAAAGUGAAAGACGGUCUUGCUGUCACUUAUAGAUGGAUCCGCGCUGCAUUAGCUAGUUGGUAAGGUAACGGCUUACCAAGGCAACGAUGCAUAGCCGACCUGAGAGGGUGAUCGGCCACACUGGAACUGAGACACGGUCCAGACUCCUACGGGAGGCAGCAGUAGGGAAUCUUCCGCAAUGGGCGAAAGCCUGACGGAGCAACGCCGCGUGAGUGAUGAAGGUCUUCGGAUCGUAAAACUCUGUUAUUAGGGAAGAACAUAUGUGUAAGUAACUGUGCACAUCUUGACGGUACCUAAUCAGAAAGCCACGGCUAACUAUGUG